ACGGAGGAUGCGAGCGUUAUCCGGAUUUAUUGGGUUUAAAGGGAGCGCAGGCUGCGAGGCAAGUCAGCGGUCAAAUGUCGGGGCUCAACCCCGGCCUGCCGUUGAAACUGUCCUGCUAGAGUUCGAGUGAGGUAUGCGGAAUGCGUUGUGUAGCGGUGAAAUGCAUAGAUAUGACGCAGAACUCCGAUUGCGAAGGCAGCAUACCAACUCGCGACUGACGCUGAGGCUCGAAAGCGUGGGUAUCGAACAG
rnacentral:rRNA from 1 species